GAAUGUCGGACGAGUGAGCUAAGUGCUUCCACAAGAGAAGAUAAAAGACGCCGAUCACAAUCUUCUACAUCUUCCAAUACCAACACGGUCUUUUCAUCAAGUUUUUCAAUGUCAUACGAAAGGACACCUAGUCCAAAUGAUCCACCUUUUAUUACUCGAAAACAUGAUUUCAAAUCACGAUGAGCUUUCAGAUUUAACACAACAAAGUUUUUCCACCCAAUUUUUUCCAUAUCGUCUUUAAGUUGCUCGUAAAACUUUAGGUGCAUCGAGUUGCUACUCUUAUCACAAACGAUUGCAGUUCGAAGUAACCCAGUUUCAUCUACUGGCUCUGAUGCAUGUUCACACAAUUGUCUCAAAACUCUGGCGUUACUAUCAUAUGUAGUGUGAGUUGUAAUUUCUUCUAACUCAUUUAACACUUUCGUACAGAGAUUUUCUCUUAAUUUUACGUAUUCUAUAGGUUCUUUACCUCCUAUCAAAGGAACAAAAAGGCCUUCACUAAACUCAUUUCCCAGGCUCUCUGUUGGCUUGGGUUUCACUGAAUAAGUUCCCUAAACAAUUUAGUUAGAUAAAAUACUGAAAAAAUUCCACUUACUUUACUGACUGAAUCAUAUUGUAGUAUUGCUGACAUAUUAAUUUGAUAUUGUAGAGAAAAAGCCAGAUGACUAGCAAAUUUAGUAUUUGAGUUUACUCUGUUUGCGUGUCACAAAUUAUUAGCAUUAUUUCAUUUAAUUAGGUCUUAAUUUGAAUCAUUAACAAGUGGUUGUCACAAGAGCACCGUUCUGAAAAUGGGUACCUUAGAAAGCGUAGUAAGUGCAGAAAGCACUUUGCUAGUUUGUUUUGAUGCUUCGAGUUAAUAGAAUGAGUCGACAGACGUUUGUAGGACUAAAAAAGAAUACGAAUAUACACAUAUAUUUUC